AGAAUCAACGCUGGCGGCGUGCCUCAGACAUGCAAGUCGAACGCGAAAGUCCCCUUCGGGGGGCGAGUAGAGUGGCGCACGGGUGAGUAACACGUAGGUAAUCUACCUUUGGAUGGGGAAUAACAACCGGAAACGGUUGCUAAUACCGCAUAAUGCAGCGGCACCUAAUGGUGACAGUUGUUAAAGCGGGGGAUUGAAAGACCUCGCGUCUGAAGAGGAGCCUGCGGCGGAUUAGCUAGUUGGUAAGGUAACGGCUUACCAAGGCGACGAUCCGUA
rnacentral:rRNA from 1 species